UUAUAGUUGCCCAGGCACUUUGGUGACUCUAGAGAACCUCGGGCCAAUCGCAUUCGGAUGUCUGCCCUAUCAACUUUCACUGUCACUAUCUGUGCCUACCAUGGUGACCAUGGGUAAUGUGAAAUCAGGGUUCGUUUCCGGAAAGGGAGCCUGAGAAAUGGCUACCACAUCCAAGGAAGGCAGCAGGAGCGCAAAUUACCCACUCCCAACGCGGGGAGGUAGUGACGA